CCGAUGACGAAGGCACUCCUCAUUAUAAUUCUGUCACUAGCACUCAACCACUCAUGAUAAAAAUAUAAUUGUAUUGAAUUAUAAGACGAAAGAAAAUGCUACUUGUCCAGUUUUAUUUGAUAUUUAGAAAAAGGAACUCAUUGAUGAAC
rnacentral:lncRNA from 1 species